AUACGUAGGUGGCAAGCGUUAUCCGGAAUUAUUGGGCGUAAAGAGGGAGCAGGCGGCAGCAAGGGUCUGUGGUGAAAGCCUGAAGCUUAACUUCAGUAAGCCAUAGAAACCAGGCAGCUAGAGUGCAGGAGCGGCUCGUGGAAUUCCAUGUGUAGCGGGGAAAUGCGUAGAUAUAUGGAUGAACACCAGUGGCGAAGGCGACGAUCUGGCCUGCAAGUGACGCUCAGUCCCGAAAGCGUGGGGAGCAAAUAGGAUUAGAUCCCCUAUUAGUCCACGCCGUAAACGAUGAGUACUAAGUGUUGGAUGUCAAAGUUCAGUGCUGCAGUUAACGCAAUAAGUACUCCGCGUGAGUAGUACGUUCGCAAGAAUGAAACUCAAAGGAAUUGGCGGGG
rnacentral:rRNA from 1 species